rnacentral:rRNA from 1 species
UACGGAGGGUGCGAGCGUUAAUCGGAAUUACUGGGCGUAAAGCGCAUGCAGGCGGUUAGAUAAGUCAGAUGUGAAAUCCCCGAGCUUAACUUGGGCAUGUCAUUUGAAACUGUUUAACUAGAGUCUUGUAGAGGGGGGUAGAAUUUCAGGUGUAGCGGUGAAAUGCGUAGAGAUCUGAAGGAAUACCGGUGGCGAAGGCGGCCCCCUGGACAAAGACUGACGCUCAGAUGCGAAAGCGUGGGUAGCAAAC